CAAAGGGGUUAUUAAGGAUAGCACAAGCAAAUUUAUAAAAAAGGAGGUGUCAACCAAAUGCUUUCAUAAUAUUAAAUUAUCUAUCGUGAAAGCGAUCCUAAGGGAAACCUUUUAAUUAAUACUUCCUGAAGUAAAACAUUUUAGUAAGGAAAGGAAAGGAAAUCAACCGAGACUCCGAAAGUAAUGGUGAGUGAAAUCGGAUUAGCCUAAGAUUAUCUUUUAUAAAUUGAAAAAAUUAACUCUUUUUUAUAAUAUUCUUAAUUAAAUUUAUACCAAUAAACUUAAAUAAGUAAUAUGAAAUCAAGAACUUAAUUUACAAAUAAUUUUAUUUCAAAUAAAAAAAAUUUGUUCAAAGAAGGUUAAAAACAAUAAGUCCUGUAGAUUUAUAAAAAAAUAAUAUAAUAAGUACGAUGAGAGUUAACUUGUCGGAAUAUAGGGGAACCAUCCUCUAAGGCUAAGUAUUAUAAAUUUAGCGAUAGUGAAAAAGUACUGUAAAGGAAAAGUUUGAAAAGCAAUGGUUUAAAGAAACAUAAGAGUAAUUAUUAAAAUUUAAAUAAUAUCUAAAAAAUAUUAAAAUUUAAUAAAUGCCGGUGAAAAAGAUCUUGAAUUAGUAACUCUAUAAGCAGUCGAAAUUUAAAACAAAAAAUGACGGCGUACCUUUUGCAUAAUGGGUCAGCAAGUUAAUAGGAGUAGCAAGGUUAAAAGCCCUAGCGAAAGCGACUGGACUAUACUUAUAAAAAAUCUCAAAUUUUUUCAUAAACAAAUAUAGUGAUGGAUAAGUUACUUCUAUUAGACCCGAAGCCAGGUGAUCUUACUAAGACCAGAUUAUAAUGGAUCGAACGGGUGAAUGUUGCAUAAUUCUCCGAUGAGUUUUAGUAAGCGGUGAAAUGCCAAUCUGACCUGGUGCUAUCUGGUUUUCUACCGAAACAUAUUUAAGUAUGACAUCUACACAAAAUUUAUGGAGGUACAGCAAGGCAAUUCCCAACAAGUAUAAGAGAAAUUAAUUAAAAAUAAUUUCGUCUUUUAGGCGUUUAGGUUGUGGGGACCUCGAAAAUCUUACCUAUGGAAGCGAAUCUCGGAAGUACAUAAAUUGAUGGUAGAUAUUCAGACUAUCCAUGCUAAGUUGGAUAGUCAAGACGGAAACAGCCGAGAACAUUGAUCAAGGUCCCAAAUGAUUAUUAAGUGAAAUUAAGGAUGUUUAAAAUCGGAUACAGCUGUGAAGUGAGCUUGGAAGUAGCUUCUUAUAAUGAUCGUAUGUAACAACGCAUCAGCAGUCUAGAUUGUAGCGCCGAAAAUUUAACGGGUCUUAAAUAAUCAACCGAUAUCGUGUUGGUUUUAAAUAAUAAUAAAAAUAAAAAAUAAAAAUUAAUAAAUAAAUAAAUAAAAUAAAAAGUUUUUCUUUUUUAAAUUCUUAUUUUAAACCUAGGUAGUAGAACAUUCAGUCAAACUAUUUAUAAAACAGUGUUUCAUUGUUUUUAGGUAACUGAAGAGAGAAUGCUGACAUGAGUAACGUAAAAAGAAGUUAUAAUACUUCUCGCCGAAUACGAAAGGGUUGUAAGUGAAAGGUUAAUCCGCCUUACGUGAAUGCGGCCUCUAAGGACUAGAACGAAAGUUUUGGCUGAUGAGUAUAUAAUAGAAAAUCCAUUUUUUGGAUCAGGAAAUUAAUAUGAGAUAAAAUUUUAUUUUAUCUGUAAGAACUUAAUUUUAUUUUUAAUAGGUCUAAAUUUUACAAAUUUUAUAGUAACCUUUAUUCUUUUUAUUUUUAAAUAAAAAAAUAGAAAAAUAAAAUUAAGACUACCGUACCCUAAACCGACACAGGUUCGUAGGUAGAGAAUACUAAGGCGUAGAGCUAAAAGUUGUUAAGGAACUCGGCAAAUUAACCUCAUAAGUUUGACAACAAGAGGUACCGCAUAUUAUUAAAAAUAAAUCUUAAAUAGUAAAAUAUCUAAUAUUUAUUCUUUUUAUAAGGCGGUGACACAUAAUCGGAGGCCCCGACUGUUUACUAAAAACACAGAUCACAGCAAUCAUGUAAAUGAUAGUAUUGUGGUCGAAAUUUGCCCGAUGCCAUUAAUAUAAGAGAGGUUAUAGUUUCUGUGACUAAUCGAAAGUCUGGUUAAUAGCGGUCUUAACUAUGAGGAUCCUAAGGUAGCAAAAUAAAUUGGCCAUUAAAUGUGGUCCGGUAUCAAUAAUGUAACGAGGGCCUCACUGUCUCUACAACUUGCUCAGUGAAAUUGAAUUACCCGUGCAGAUGCGGGUUACCUCCAGGGGGACGGGAAGACCCUAUGCAGCUUUACUGUAGUUAGUUAUCAUAUUAAUCUACAACAACCUUUGUUACUAGAGAAUAGGUAAGUCGAUAGACUAUUUGUGGAAACCUUAAAACUUAGGUUGGGUUAAUGUUUACCUUUAUAUAAAAUAAAAACUUAAAAGGGAGAGGUUACUAAUUGGCAGUUUGACUGGGGCGGUCGUCUUUAAUAGAGUAGCAAAGUACAUCCAAAUAUUUAAAUUAUUAUAAUGUUUUAGUUUAAAUUUAGUUUUCUGGAUUUAAAUUAUUUUACAUUUCAAACAAAUAAAAUAUAAAAUUAUAUUAUAUUUUUUAUAUUAAUAUCUUUCAUAUACUUUUGUAUGUUGUAAAGAAAUACACAAAAAAUUAAAAAAGGUAUAGCUAGAAAUUGAAUGGAGAUCAAUCAACCAGUGAAAGGUUGUGCAGGGCUCAAUGGCGGUAAGCAUGCUUAACUGAAAGACCUAAAAGUCGCACAGAUACGUAAGUAGGGCAUAGUGACCCCUCGCUAUAAUAUGGGAUAGACGGGGAUCAAUUGAUAAAAGUUACGCUAGGGAUAACAGGCUGAUAGCCGACGAGAGUACACAUUGUCUCGGCUGAUUGGCACCUUACAGGUUAAAAAGAGUUUAAAAAUUUAGUGUUAAAUACUAGUCUUAAUACAGAAAUAAUUUCACCAACAAUAGAUUCACCAACGAAUACGAGAGUUGGAACUAUUACACCUUUUUCUCUUACUGAAGCUGACAACCUAAAAUUGGAAGAAAUGAAUUUAGGUCGAGAGAUGAUUGGGGAGACUAGUAACCCUUCUAAUUUAAAGAUA
rnacentral:rRNA from 1 species